rnacentral:rRNA from 1 species
GAUGAACGCUGGCGGCGUGCCUAAUACAUGCAAGUCGAGCGAACAGACGAGGAGCUUGCUCCUCUGACGUUAGCGGCGGACGGGUGAGUAACACGUGGAUAACCUACCUAUAAGACUGGGAUAACUUCGGGAAACCGGAGCUAAUACCGGAUAAUAUAUUGAACCGCAUGGUUCAAUAGUGAAAGACGGUUUUGCUGUCUCUUAUAGAUGGAUCCGCGCCGCAUUAGCUAGUUGGUAAGGUAACGGCUUACCAAGGCGACGAUGCGUAGCCGACCUGAGAGGGUGAUCGGCCACACUGGAACUGAGACACGGUCCAGACUCCUACGGGAGGCAGCAGUAGGGAAUCGUCCGCAAUGGGCGAAAGCCUGACGGAGCAACGCCGCGUGAGUGAUGAAGGUCUUCGGAUCGUAAAACUCUGUUAUUAGGGAAGAACAAAUGUGUAAGUAACUAUGCACGUCUUGACGGUACCUAAUCAGAAAGCCACGGCUAACUACGUG